CGGGGUAUAGCGUAACCCAGUUUCUCGUCCCGAUUGCGAUCGGGAAGGUCGUAGGUUCAAAUCCUGCCUCCCCGA
rnacentral:tRNA from 1 species